AGGUGGUCCAUGGUGGCCUGAGGGUCAUUCAUGGUGGUCCAAUGGUCAUUCGAGGUGGUCCAAGGCGGCCUGAGGUUUGUCCGAGGUGGUCCAAGGGUCAUUUAAGGUGGUCCAAGGGUCAUCCAAGGUGGUCCAAUGGUCAUUCUAGAUGGUCCACAGCGGCCUGAGGGUCAUCCAAGGUGGUCCACAGUGGCCUCAGAGUCAUUCAUGGUGGUCCAAGGUUCAUCCAAGGUGUCCAAGGGUCAUCCAAGGUGGUAUAAUGUGGCCUGAGGGACAUUGGAGGUGGGCCAGGGUGGCCUGAGGGUCAUUCCAGGUGGUCCAAGUGUCAUCCAAGGUGGUCCACAGUGGCCUCAGAGUCAUUCAUGGUGGUCCAAGGGUCAUCCAAGGUGUCCAAGUGUCAUCCAAGGUGGUCCACAGUGGCCUGAGGGUCAUUCCAGGUGGUCCAAGGAUCAUUCCAGGUGGUCCAAGGAUCAUUCCAGGUGUCCAAGGGUCAUUCAAGGUGGUCUAAAGGUCAUUCACGGUGGUCCAAGGUGGUCCAAGGUGGUUAAAGGUCCAGCCAACGUCAUCCAAGGUGGCCCAAGCUCCAUCCAAGGUGGCCCAGGGUCCAUCCGAGGUGGCCCAGGCUCCAUCCCAGAAGAUCCAAGUUUGCCCAAAUUCCAUCCAAGGUGGCCCAAGGUGGUUGAAGGUCCAGCCAACGUCAUCCAAGGUGGCCCAGGCUCCAUUCCAGGAGAUCCAAGGUGGCCCAAGAUCCACCCAAGGUUGCCCAAGUUUAAUUUCAGAAGGUCCAAGGUGGCCCAGGCUCCAUCCGAAGUGGCCCAAGCUCCAUCCAAGGUUGCCCCGGGUCCUUCCGAGGUGGCCCAGGCUCCAUCUGAGGUGGCCCAAGCUCCAUUCCAGAAGGUCCAAGGUGGCCCCAGGUCCUUCCGAGGUGGCCCAAGAUCCAUCCGAGGUGGCCCAAGGUCCAUUCCAGAAGAUUCCAAGGUUCUUCUGAGGUGGCCCAAGCUCCAUCCAAGGUGGCCCAAGCUCCAUCCAAGGUGGCCCAAGCUCCAUCCAAGGUGGCCCAGGCUCCAUUCCAGGAGAUCCAAGGUGGCCCAAGAUCCACCCAAGGUUGCCCAAGUUUAAUUUCAGAAGGUCCAAGGUGGCCCAGGCUCCAUCCGAAGUGGCCCAAGCUCCAUCCAAGGUUGCCCCGGGUCCUUCCGAGGUGGCCCAGGCUCCAUCUGAGGUGGCCCAAGCUCCAUUCCAGAAGGUCCAAGGUGGCCCCAGGUCCUUCCGAGGUGGCCCAAGAUCCAUCCGAGGUGGCCCAAGGUCCAUUCCAGAAGAUUCCAAGGUUCUUCUGAGGUGGCCCAGGCUCCAUCCAAGGUGGCCCAGGCUCCAUCCAAGGUGGCCCAGGCUCCAUUCCAGGAGAUCCAAGGUGGCCCAAGAUCCACCCAAGGUUGCCCAAGUUUAAUUUCAGAAGGUCCAAGGUGGCCCAGGCUCCAUCCGAAGUGGCCCAAGCUCCAUCCAAGGUUGCCCCGGGUCCUUCCGAGGUGGCCCAGGCUCCAUCUGAGGUGGCCCAAGCUCCAUUCCAGAAGGUCCAAGGUGGCCCCAGAUCCUUCCGAGGUGGCCCAAGGUCCAUUCCAGAAGAUUCCAAGGUUCUUCUGAGGUGGCCCAGGCUCCAUCCAAGGUGGCCCAAGAUCAUUCCGAGGUGGCCCAGGCUCCAUCCGAGGUGGCCCAAGGUGGCCCAGGCUCCA